rnacentral:rRNA from 1 species
CAGCCGCCACGGUAAUACAGAGGGUGCAAGCGUUAAUCGGAAUUACUGGGCGUAAAGCGCGCGUAGGUGGUUUGUUAAGUCGAAUGUGAAAUCCCCGGGCUCAACCUGGGAACUGCAUCCGAAACUGGCAAGCUAGAGUAUGGUAGAGGGUAGUGGAAUUUCCUGUGUAGCGGUGAAAUGCGUAGAUAUAGGAAGGAACACCAGUGGCGAAGGCGACUACCUGGACUGAUACUGACACUGAGGUGCGAAAGCGUGGGGAGCAAACAGGAUUAGAUACCCGCGUAGUCCCUGUCUCUUAUAC